rnacentral:misc_RNA from 1 species
AAAAUUUCUUGUCUUGUAAUCAGAUACUAAAUGUAUGAAUUGUGAAAAAUGUGAAUAUCCAUGCUUUCUUGCAUUGUUAUCCUUGCUUUCUCAUCCUCAUCUUUUGUAUUUGUUGCUUGAUAACAAUCUUUGUCUGAUCUCUUUUCUCGUGUAAUGGUAUCUCUGUCUAUUCUUACUUUAUUGUAAAGAAAACGCUUGAUCUCUAUUGCUCCAAUUUUGAAAUUGUAGUUUUGAGAAAGAAGAUAAUGCUAUUAAUUCAGGCAUAUUUAUCAUUGGCCACCUUUUUGUCAUACGUAUCUGAUUGGUUCCAUUUACUACUAAUGCUGUGAAAGAAAUUGGUAAAUU